rnacentral:rRNA from 1 species
UACGAAGGGGGCGAGCGUUGUUCGGAUUUACUGGGCGUAAAGGGCGCGCAGGCGGCUAUCCAAGUCAGGCGUGAAAGCCCCGGGCUUAACCUGGGAGGUGCGUCUGGGACUGGGUGGCUAGAGUUCGGGAGAGGAGAGUGGAAUUCCCAGUGUAGAGGUGAAAUUCGUAGAUAUUGGGAAGAACACCGGUGGCGAAGGCGGCUCUCUGGACCGAGACUGACGCUGAGGCGGCGAAAAGCGUGGGGAGCAAACAGG